CACGUAGGAGGCGAGCGUUGUCCGGAAUCAUUGGGCGUAAAGAGCGCGCAGGCGGCUUGGCAAGUCGGGUGUGAAAUCCCGGGGCUCAACCCCGGGACUGCAUUCGAUACUGUCAGGCUAGAGGUAGGUAGGGGAGAUCGGAAUUCCUGGUGUAGCGGUGAAAUGCGCAGAUAUCAGGAGGAACACCGGUGGCGAAGGCGGAUCUCUGGGCCUUACCUGACGCUGAGGAGCGAAAGCGUGGGUAGCGAACAGG
rnacentral:rRNA from 1 species